rnacentral:rRNA from 1 species
GGGUCUACCCAUUGGUCAGGCUUAAUUGUCUGCACUGGUGAGAUGGAUCUCUACCUUCUGAGGAACUUCCUCGCCAUUUAUUUGGUGUGAUGGGAAAUCAGGACUGUUACUUUGAAAAAAUUAGAGUGUUUAAAGCAGGCUCACGCUUGAAUACAUUAGCAUGGAAUAACGAAAUAGGACGUUUGAUUCUAUUUUGUUGGUUUCUAGGAUCGACGUA